rnacentral:ncRNA from 1 species
GUUAAUUUUUAUUAAUUCUCUUAUCUCCUCUCGACAUUUGGAUUCCUCAUGGUUACAUUACCUCGGUGUUUCGCAUCGGGGUUUUU